rnacentral:rRNA from 1 species
GCAGUAGGGAAUAUUGGGCAAUGGAUGCAAGUCUGACCCAGCCAUGCCGCGUGCCGGAUGAAGGCCCUCAGGGUUGUAAACGGCUUUUAUUCGGGAAGAAGAGCAGGGAUGCGUCCCUGUGUGACGGUACCGAAUGAAUAAGCACCGGCUAACUCCGUGCCAGCAGCCGCGGUAAUACGGAGGGUGCGAGCGUUGUCCGGAUUUAUUGGGUUUAAAGGGUGCGUAGGUGGCUUUUUAAGUCAGUGGUGAAAUACAGCCGCUCAACGGUUGAGGUGCCAUUGAUACUGAAGAGCUUGAAACAAGUGGAGGCUGCCGGAAUGGAUGGUGUAGCGGUGAAAUGCAUAGAUAUCAUCCAGAACACCGAUUGCGAAGGCAGGUGGCUACGUUUGAUUUGACACUGAGGCACGAAAGCAUGGGGAGCAAACAGGAUUAGA